GAUGAACGCUGGCGGCGUGCCUAAUACAUGCAAGUCGAGCGAACUUACGAGAAGCUUGCUUCUCUGAUGUUAGCGGCGGACGGGUGAGUAACACGUGGAUAACCUACCUAUAAGACUGGGAUAACUUCGGGAAACCGGAGCUAAUACCGGAUGAUAUUUUCAUUCGCAUGGUUCAAGAGUGAAAGACGGUCUUGCCUUCACUUAUCGAUGGAUCCCCGCUGCAUUAAGAAGUUGGUAAGGUAACGGUCUACCAAGGCAACCAGGCAUAGCCGACCUGGGAGGGGGUCCGCCACACCGGGAACUGGACACCGGUCAGAAUUCCAACGGGAGGCGGAGGAGGGGAUCCUCCGGCAUUGGCGAAAGUCUGACGGGGGAACGGCGCGUGAGCGAAGAAGGUCUUCCGGUCGGUAAACUCUGGUGUCAGGGAAGAACAAGAAGCGUAAGAACAUGUCGGUACCUUGACGGUACCUGAUCAGAAAGCCACGGCUAACUACGUG
rnacentral:rRNA from 1 species